AAAAUUGUAUAAAAUAAGUAAUUCACUCUACCAAUGUUGGUUUGGUGUAAUAAACCUAGUCACCUUGAGAAGGCUACUAUGUUAAACAAAUACAUUAAGCGGCUAAGUAACAUGCAUAUGUAUAUGCCAUUUUAAUUCAAAGACAUGCAUUUGGAGUAUUUCAACCCAUCCUAUAAUGCUCAAACCAAACUUAUCUCUUUACCCAUGUAUCCAUAUAA
rnacentral:lncRNA from 1 species